CAACAAAUGUAAAGGAGGUGAUCCAGUGUCAAGAACGGUAUUGGAGCGAGGUGUCGGAACAGCUUGGGAGGACAACCGCUAGGGCAGCCCUUAGUGGUCAGAACCUUGGGUGGAUCGCUGAUCUAACCGAUCCCACCUCCGUAAACCAUUCGAUUGGGCCGCUCUUUUCAGGGCGGCCC
rnacentral:misc_RNA from 1 species